rnacentral:rRNA from 1 species
UACGAGGGAUCCUAGCGUUGUUCGGAAUUAUUGGGCGUAAAGGGUGUGUAGGUGGCUUUUUAAGUCAGUUGUGAAAUCCCCGGGCUCAACCCGGGAAGUGCUUCUGAUACUAUUAAGCUUGAGUACUGGAGAGGUGAGUGGAAUUCCUGGUGUAGUGGUGAAAUACGUAGAUAUCAGGAGGAACACCGGUGGCGAAGGCGGCUCAUGGCCAUGUACUGACACUGAAACACGAAAGCGUGGGGAUCAAAACAGG